UCGCUCCAUGGCAGCUCUGAGACAAGGCCAUACACUGUUGGGUCCCUGCUCAUUUCCUCCCAACCGCCAUGCCAGGGGAAUCCCCUGUGCGCUGGUGGUCCCCUGCAGUAGUUCAUGUUCCCAGCAGACCCAAGAGGACACUGAGCCUUUCUCAGACAGCUCUGCUGCCCACAGACCUCUCCUUUCUCAUCUGUCUUCCUAUCUCUCUGCUUCCUAGCCCCAGACCAGCAACCUGAGCAAGGAUCACACUGCCCAAAUCAUUCCCAAUGUGAAUGUCACAGUGCUCCUUCCAGAGAGGAUUUCCAGUGAUACUGACGUUCCCCGCCCCAGGGUCACCCCUGAACUGGAAUAUGGAGUGCCCUGCUCCAGCACUGGGGUUGCAGGAGUGUAUCACCAUUCCCCACCUUUGACAAGGAUUCUGAGGAUCACACUCAGGUCUUCCUGCCUUCAUGGUCUUUGGCUCAGCAGCUUGAUGAAAGCAAGCAUCCAGCUCCAAGAGUCGCUUCCCCCCCAGCCCCCAC